AGCGAACGCUGGCGGCAGGCCUAACACAUGCAAGUCGAACGAACCUUUCGGGGUUAGUGGCGGACGGGUGAGUAACACGUGGGAACGUUCCUUUAGGUUCGGAAUAACUCAGGGACACUUGUGCUAAUACCGAAUGUGCCCUUCGGGGGAAAGAUUUAUCGCCUUUAGAGCGGCCCGCGUCUGAUUAGCUAGUUGGUUGAGGUAAUGGCUCACCAAGGCGACGAUCAGUAGCUGGUCUGAGAGGAUGAUCAGCCACAUUGGGACUGAGACACGGCCCAAACUCCUACGGGAGGCAGGAGUGGGGAAUCUUGCGCAAUGGGCGAAAGCCUGACGCAGCCAUGCCGCGUGAAUGAUGAAGGUCUUAGGAUUGUAAAAUUCUUUCACCGGGGACGAUAAUGACGGUACCCGGAGAAGAAGCCCCGGCUAACUUCGUG
rnacentral:rRNA from 1 species